GGGGGCGACACGGUUUCGACCGGAGUGACUGGGUCGAAUGUCGCGCGCCGAGGUUGCUCGGAGGCCUCGUAAAAAACCGGGCAAAAAGAUAAACGCCAAAAAUACGGUUAAGGGGAUUGCCCCGGUUGUGCCGAUUCGGCCGGCCGUGGUCCCCAUGGCUCUGGCUGCUUAAUAAGUAGCCCGUCCUCCUGCCCACGCCUGCUAGGCGGGAUGGACGACACAGCAGGCUGGCUGGAUCUCGUUUCCUCUGGGGGGUCCAGCGAGGAGCCGACUGGGGGAUAGUUCGUCGUGGACCCCGUCUGCGGGGGCCGCAGCGGACGAACUCAAAUCGCAGACUACGCGCGUAGUGGACGCGACUGGGUUGCUUUCGGCACGGGGGUUCGACUCCCCCCGCCUCCACCG
rnacentral:tmRNA from 1 species